rnacentral:lncRNA from 1 species
AAGCGUCUCAGCUGCCUGAGAGGGAAAUUGAGGCCUAGACAGCCAAAGUGGCAAGCCUUCUAAUAUCAAAGGAAUGACUGACCAUAGUGCCCAGUGUAGUGAUCUCUGUCACUAAACUGACAUUCUCUUUGGUUAAUAUUAUAGUUUAACAGAAGAAGUUCGACAGCUUUUCUCAGGUUGAAAAGAAAACAAAACAGAACGAUUUAGUUUGUCCAGCUGCUGUGCUCAGAGUUACCUUAAAGGCUCAGGUGGUGACAGCAGCGUGUUCAAUGACCUGGAUUUAUUUAUUGCCUAUUUUUAUUGUUACAACCUGGCCAUUCAGUGUCUGGCUCUCAGAGUGACCUGUGGACAUAAUACGAAUCCAUCCCAAGGGAAAUGUUCUCAGUCAACCAGACUGGUUACUCUACAUGGAAAUCAGUUGAGAAGAACUAAAACUCUAUCUUUGCUUUUCAGACUGCACUGGGGUCGUGUCUACUUUGGUAUUUUCCUGUGUGGAAGCCUCAGCGGAGUUCUGUGCCUUCAGGAUUCUACCUCCAUGCCAUGUUGACUCCCCAGGGAAGUUGAAAGCAGUCUGUCAAGAAGUGACUGAUGACUGAUGCACAUGGAAAGAGAAACAUCGACCCGAUGAGCUGCUCCAGAUUAAUGACCUAGAGGUGGCAAGGGACGUUUACACAGCCUCUGAUGUGCCCUUUGUUGUUGCCAUGCAACAAUAUGUCACCGGCUGAUUCACUCAUCUCACUGAAUAAUGAAGUGUCUCUGUGGUAAAGAAAAGCC